rnacentral:rRNA from 1 species
UGCAGUCGAACGAUGAUCCGGUGCUUGCGCCGGGGAUUAGUGGCGAACGGGUGAGUAACACGUGAGUAACCUGCCCUUAACUCUGGGAUAAGCCUGGGAAACUGGGUCUAAUACCGGAUAUGACUCCUCAUCGCAUGGUGGGGGGUGGAAAGCUUUAUUGUGGUUUUGGAUGGACUCGCGGCCUAUCAGCUUGUUGGUGAGGUAAUGGCUCACCAAGGCGACGACGGGUAGCCGGCCUGAGAGGGUGACCGGCCACACUGGGACUGAGACACGGCCCAGACUCCUACGGGAGGCAGCAGUGGGGAAUAUUGCACAAUGGGCGCAAGCCUGAUGCAGCGACGCCGCGUGAGGGAUGACGGCCUUCGGGUUGUAAACCUCUUUCAGUAGGGAAGAAGCGAAAGUGACGGUACCUGCAGAAGAAGCGCCGGCUAACUACGUGCCAGCAGCCGCGGUAAUACGUAGGGCGCAAGCGUUAUCCGGAAUUAUUGGGCGUAAAGAGCUCGUAGGCGGUUUGUCGCGUCUGCCGUGAAAGUCCGGGGCUCAACUCCGGAUCUGCGGUGGGUACGGGCAGACUAGAGUGAUGUAGGGGAGACUGGAAUUCCUGGUGUAGCGGUGAAAUGCGCAGAUAUCAGGAGGAACACCGAUGGCGAAGGCAGGUCUCUGGGCAUUAACUGACGCUGAGGAGCGAAAGCAUGGGGAGCGAACAGGAUUAGAUACCCUGGUAGUCCAUGCCGUAAACGUUGGGCACUAGGUGUGGGGGACAUUCCACGUUUUCCGCGCCGUAGCUAACGCAUUAAGUGCCCCGCCUGGGGAGUACGGCCGCAAGGCUAAAACUCAAAGGAAUUGACGG